AUGAUUCGUGGGACGUCCUGCCGGUGGUGGCGAGUCGAAGGCGUGCACCCGUUGUGGUCUUCCACUUCGGUUCUUGCGCGCCGGAGGCGGACCCCGAUGAAAUCCUACCGCGGUGCUCUUCGCCGAGUGUCGAGGUGGGCCGGCACGUUUACUUUGAACAAAUUAGAGUGCUUAAAGCAGGCCUGUUGCGCCUGAAUACUGUGUGCAUGGAAUAAUGGAAUAGGACCUCGGUUCUAUUUUGUUGGUUUUCGGAACCCGAGGUAAUGAUUAAUAGGGACAGGCGGGGGCAUUCGUAUUGCGACGUUAGAGGUGAAAUUCUUGGAUCGUCGCAAGACGGACCGAAGCGAAAGCAUUUGCCAAGUAUGUUUUCAUUAAUCAAGAACGAAAGUUAGAGGUUCGAAGGCGAUCAGAUACCGCCCUAGUUCUAACCAUAAACGAUGCCAGCUAGCGAUCCGCCGAAGUUCCUCCGAUGACUCGGCGGGCAGCUCCCGGGAAACCAAAGCUUUUGGGUUCCGGGGGAAGUAUGGUGCAAAGCUGAAACUUAAAGGAAUUGACGGAAGG
rnacentral:rRNA from 1 species